ACUCAAAGGAAUAGACGGGGGUCCGCACAAGCGGUGGAACAUGUGGUUUAAUUCGUCACUACGCGAGGAACCUUACCUAGGCUUGACAUGCUUUUGAUCGCUGUAGAAAUACAGUUUUCUAGGUCUUUGAUCUAGACGGAUGCACAGGUGCUGCAUGGCUGUCGUCAGCUCGUGCCGUGAGGUGUUAGGUUAAGUCCUCUAACGAGCGCAACCCUUGCCGUCAGUUGCUAUUCUUCGGAAGCACUCUGAUGGGACUGCCUGGGAAACCAGGAGGAAGGUGGGGAUGACGUCAAGUCAUCAUGGUCCUUAUGCCUAGGGCUACACACGUGUUACAAUGGCCAGUACAAAGGGCUGCAAGCUUGUAAAAGUGAGCGAAUCCUAAAAACUGGUCUAAGUUCGGAUUGAGGUCUGCAACUCGACCUCAUGAAGUUGAAAUCGCUAGUAAUCGCGUAUCAGCAACGGCGCGGUGAAUACGUUCUCGGACCUUGCACACACCGCCCGU
rnacentral:rRNA from 1 species